GCCCGAUUAGCUCAGCUGGUUAGAGCGUCGUACUAAUAUCGGUUUCUUCUGAUAUCAAGUCCAUGCGAAGGUCAACAGUUCAAUCCUGUUAUUGGGCA